UACGUAGGGAGCAAGCGUUGUCCGGAAUCAUUGGGCGUAAAGCGCGCGUAGGUGGCUUCGUAAGUCCGUUGUGAAAGUCAAAGGCUCAACCUUUGAAAGCCGAUGGAUACUGUGGAGCUAGAGUACGGAAGAGGCGAGUGGAAUUCCUGGUGUAGCGGUGGAAUGCGCAGAUAUCAGGAGGAACACCAAUGGCGAAGGCAGCUCGCUGGGACGGUACUGACGCUAAGGCGCGAAAGCGUGGGGAGCAAACAGG
rnacentral:rRNA from 1 species